UCUGACUAGUGCCUAAGCGAAAGUGAUAAGUAAUCCACCUGGGGAGUACGAUCGCAAGAUUGAAACUCAAAGGAAUUGACGGGGGCCCGCACAAGCGGUGGAGCAUGUGGUUUAAUUCGAUGAUACGCGAGGAACCUUACCUGGGCUUAAAUGUGACCGGACAAGCUGUGAAAACAGCCUUUCUUCGGACUGGUCUCAAGGUGCUGCAUGGUUGUCGUCAGCUCGUGCUGUGAGGUGUCGGGUUAAGUCCCAUAACGAGCGCAACCCUUAUCUUUAGUUGCCAGCGAGUAAUGUCGGGGACUUUAAAGAGACUGCCCGUGUAAACGGGAGGAAGGUGGGGAUGACGUCAAAUCAUCACGGCCCUUACGUCCAGGGCUACACACGUGCUACAAUGGUGAGUACAGAUGGUUGCUGCUUGGUGACAAGUUUGCUAAUCUAUAAAACUCAUCUCAGUUCGGAUUGAAGUCUGAAACUCGACUUCAUGAAGUUGGAAUCGCUAGUAAUCGCAUAUCAGCCAUGAUGCGGUGAAUACGUUCCCGGGCCUUGUACACACCGCCCGUCAAGCCAUGGAAGUUGGGAGUGCCUAAAGUCGGAAACUAUAUAGGAUCCGCCUAGGGUAAAACUGAUAACUAGGGCUAAGUCGUAACAAGGUAGCCG
rnacentral:rRNA from 1 species